CUACGGGACGCAGCAGUGGGGAAUAUUGGACAAUGGGGGAAACCCUGAUCCAGCAAUGCCGCGUGUGUGAAGAAGGCCUGCGGGUUGUAAAGCACUUUGGGUUGGGAGGACUGCUUCUAGCACUAAUAUUGUUGGAAGUUGACGUUACCUUCAGAAGAAGCACCGGCUAACUCCGUGCCAGCAGCCGCGGUAAUACGGAGGGUGCAGGCGUUAAUCGGAAUUACUGGGCGUAAAGCGCGCGUAGGCGGCUAGAUCAGUCGGGUGUGAAAGCCCCGGGCUUAACCUGGGAACUGCAUCCGAUACUGUCUAGCUUGAGUACAGGAGAGGAGAGUGGAAUUCCACAUGUAGCGGUGAAAUGCGUAGAUAUGUGGAGGAACACCAAUGGCGAAGGCAGCUCUCUGGCCUGAUACUGACGCUGAGGUGCGAAAGCGUGGGGAGCAAACAGGAUUAGAUACCCCAGUAGUC
rnacentral:rRNA from 1 species